GCCUCUCGGCUCUCUGUCCCCCCUGCUCUUUCCCCCAUCUCCAUCUCCAUCCACCACGAAGCGACGCGCAGGUCCUCAGCCACCCGCAUCGGGGACGGCAAUGAGAGGCGGGACGAAGGUGCCCUGGGCGCUGGCCCUGGCGCUGCUCUGCGUGGCCGCGCACUUCCAGGGCGCCUCCUGCCGCGGCGGGGGUGGCGGGAGGGGAGGAGGAGGCGGGAGGGGCGGCGGCGGCUCAGGAAGAGGUGGCGGAGGGUCGGGACGAGGCCGCCCCGGCCGCCCGUUCCUCGGCGGGGUGGGGGCGGGCGCCGCCGCCGGCGUCGGCGCGAGGGCGGCCGCGGGAGGUUCGCACGGGCACCGCAACAGCGCUGCGGGUGGCGCGGGCGGGCGUGGCGCGUGGAGGGUGGCCGGAGCCGGCGCCGUCCUCGCCGCCGCAGCGCUCGCUUGGUGCUGAUCGCACCUGCUGAAGGCGUAUUCCAGAUUCGAGGGGUGGUUCCUCAUUUUUGGUGUGUACUACUAGAGGGCGUGGUUGGUAGCACGAGUUCAUAGUAGUAGAACAGUUGGUUGAUGCGUUUGUAUGUACUACUACGCUGUUCUGGGAUCUGAAAAUCGAAGAUUGUGAUUAGCUGUAGGACGAGUUUGUGGUAGUGUUGAGUAAUUGUCACGAACUGAAAAUGCAGAGGGGUUGAAGGCCUUGUUGCCGGCUUGCUUGUGUGGUACUGUACAUUCAAAUCUGCGAAUGCUUUUCUGGUUUCUGUAACUUGUGUGGUAUGUCCAUUGCUUCAGAAAUACUUGGUGCUGAAAUAGGCCUGAGCAUACGUGAGGGAGGUGCCGUAUCCCGUAUCAGAUACGGCUAAGAUACAUGAUAGAUACGUGAUGGAUAAUGUAUUCAGAAUAAAAAUAUAUACAGUAAAUGUUGAUACGUGGCCGUGUCACGUAUCGGACUGAUUUUGCGAUACGGCCUAGCCGAACAACACCUCUUAUCCACACACCUGCUACCCUACCG
rnacentral:lncRNA from 1 species